GAUGAACGCUAGCGGCAGGCCUAAUACAUGCAAGUCGAACGCGGGGUAGCAAUACCUCGAGUGGCGCACGGGUGCGUAACGCGUAACCAACCUGCCCUUGACUGGGGGAUAGCCCGCCGACAGGCGGCUUAAUACCGCAUAAACCAGCAGCCUGGCAUCAGGCAACUGGUAAAGAUUUAUUGGUCAAGGAUGGGGUUGCGUGACAUUAGCUAGUUGGCGGGGUAACGGCCCACCAAGGCGACGAUGUCUAGGGGACCUGAGAGGGUGAUCCCCCACACUGGCACUGAGAUACGGGCCAGACUCCUACGGGAGGCAGCAGUAGGGAAUAUUGGGCAAUGGGCGAGAGCCGGACCCAGCCAUGCCGCGUGCCGGAUGAAGGCCUUCUGGGUUGUAAACGGCUUUUCUCAGGGAAGAAAAAGGGUAUGCGUACCACACUGACGGUACCUGAGGAAUAAGCACCGGCUAACUCCGUGCCAGCAGCCGCGGUAACAC
rnacentral:rRNA from 1 species